rnacentral:rRNA from 1 species
GAGUUUGAUCCUGGCUCAGAUUGAACGCUGGCGGCAGGCCUAACACAUGCAAGUCGAGCGGAUGACGGGAGCUUGCUCCUUGAUUCAGCGGCGGACGGGUGAGUAAUGCCUGGGAAUCUGCCUGGUAGUGGGGGACAACGUUUCGAAAGGAACGCUAAUACCGCAUACGUCCUACGGGAGAAAGCAGGGGACCUUCGGGCCUUGCGCUAUCAGAUGAGCCUAGGUCGGAUUAGCUAGUUGGUGGGGUAAUGGCUCACCAAGGCGACGAUCCGUAACUGGUCUGAGAGGAUGAUCAGUCACACUGGAACUGAGACACGGUCCAGACUCCUACGGGAGGCAGCAGUGGGGAAUAUUGGACAAUGGGCGAAAGCCUGAUCCAGCCAUGCCGCGUGUGUGAAGAAGGUCUUCGGAUUGUAAAGCACUUUAAGUUGGGAGGAAGGGCAGUAAGUUAAUAACCUUGCUGUUUUGACGUUACCGACAGAAUAAGCACCGGCUAACUCUGUGCCAGCAG